rnacentral:rRNA from 1 species
CGUACACUCCUGCGGGAGGCAGCAGUGGGGAAUUUUGGACAAUGGGCGAAAGCCUGAUCCAGCCAUGCCGCGUGCAGGAUGAAGGCCUUCGGGUUGUAAACUGCUUUUGUACGGAACGAAACGGCCUUUUCUAAUAAAGAGGGCUAAUGACGGUACCGUAAGAAUAAGCACCGGCUAACUACGUGCCAGCAGCCGCGGUAAUACGUAGGGUGCAAGCGUUAAUCGGAAUUACUGGGCGUAAAGCGUGCGCAGGCGGUUAUGUAAGACAGUUGUGAAAUCCCCGGGCUCAACCUGGGAACUGCAUCUGUGACUGCAUAGCUAGAGUACGGUAGAGGGGGAUGGAAUUCCGCGUGUAGCAGUGAAAUGCGUAGAUAUGCGGAGGAACACCGAUGGCGAAGGCAAUCCCCUGGACCUGUACUGACGCUCAUGCACGAAAGCGUGGGGAGCAAACAGGAUUAGAAACCCCAGUAGUCCCAUG